GGAGUGGGCUGUAGCCCUGUUUGACUUCCCCGGUCAGACCCCAGAGGAUCUGUCCUUCCACAAGGGGGCGCUGAUCCAAGUGACGGAGCACAUCGACGCAGAGUGGAGGAGAGGAAGAGUGGAGGGGAGAGAGGGGCUUUACCCUGUGGCCUUCACACAGCCCUGCAAAGCUCAGCCAAUCACAGGCCAGCAGCCUGUGGCUAAAGGAAUGGCCAAAGCUCUGUUUGACUUCACAGCAGAAAGCGAGGAUGAGCUCACACUGAAGGUCGGUGACAUUAUCACACAGGUGGAGGCUGUGGAUGAGCAGUGGAUUAUGGGCGUUGUGGGCGGGAAGCAUGGGAUUGUGCCUACGGACACGCACAUGAAUCU